UAUAAACAUUUAGUAAUAUGCAAAUAACAAACGGCGCCAUCUUUCACAAACAACUAACUAAUUUUGACAGCAAGAGACAUUAUGUGUGAACACCACCCAACCUGUAGCGGAAUUUAAACGGUCAGUGUAAACGCAGUAAAAAUAUGCCGUCACUUUUCGCUCCGGUGUAAUGUAAACGUAGUUUUAAAUAUGCCGCAGAAGGGCGUAAAGUUUUCAGUUGAAAAAGGCAUUUUUAAAAGUUCAACACUUAUUUAUAUAAAAGUUCAACACUUAUUUAUGUAAAAGUUCAACACUUAUUUAU